rnacentral:lncRNA from 1 species
UUUUUUUGAGUCUGUGUGUGUCAACCUUGUUGUUUCUUUUGACGUCUCAGCGUCUCUUUGUGUUUGUGUGACAACUAUUAGGCUCGAGUUCCAGACUCCCUAUUAGUUUGUUAUUCACCCUUUUUUUCUUUUUUAACCUUUUUGUUUCUUUUGACGUCUUAGCGUCUCUUUGUGUUUGUGUGACAACUAUUAGGCUCGAGUUCCAGACUCCCUAUUAGUUUGUCAAUCUGAUAACCUUUUUCUUUUAUGUUCGCUGGUUAGCG